AUCACUUCUCGGCCUUUUGCCUGAGAUCAAGGGUAGUAUCUGUUCUUAUCAGUUCAAAAUGGCUUCUAGAAAGAAUUAUUUCAAAAAAGUUUAAUCUAUGUGUUUGUUUUGUAGAAACAGAGAAGAAUCCACCCUUUCCUUAAGAGAUUAUCUGCAUUUUCACUUCCACUUUUCCACAUUGUUAGCAGCUGCAGACAAGUUUAAUUCANN
ensembl:snRNA U2 U2 spliceosomal RNA